ensembl:lncRNA
AGUUGUGAGUAAGCCUCUGUCACACUUCAUGCAGAGUUUGAAAGUGAACUACCAGACAAGACCAUUACUGGAACCUCAUUCUGCAGGCCAGGCCUUUAUCUGUUGUCUUUCUGUAUAUCAUCAUGACAAACCCAUCAUC